AUUGAACGCUGGCGGCAGGCCUAACACAUGCAAGUCGAGCGGAUGAAGGGAGCUUGCUCCUGGAUUCAGCGGCGGACGGGUGAGUAAUGCCUAGGAAGCUGCCUGGUAGUGGGGGAUAACGUCCGGAAACGGGCGCGAAUACCGCAUACGUCCUGAGGGAGAAAGUGGGGGAUCUUCGGACCUCACGCUAUCAGAUGAGCCUAGGUCGGAUUAGCUAGUUGGUGGGGUAAAGGCCUACCAAGGCGACGAUCCGUAACUGGUCUGAGAGGAUGAUCAGUCACACUGGAACUGAGACACGGUCCAGACUCCUACGGGAGGCAGCAGUGGGGAAUAUUGGACAAUGGGCGAAAGCCUGAUCCAGCCAUGCCGCGUGUGUGAAGAAGGUCUUCGGAUUGUAAAGCACUUUAAGUUGGGAGGAAGGGCAGUAAGUUAAUACAUUGCUGUUUUGACGUUACCAACAGAAUAAGCACCGGCUAACUUCGUG
rnacentral:rRNA from 1 species